GGAUAUUAAGAAAACUUGGGGGUUUAAAUAUAAAUUGUGAAAGCUAAAAUUACCAUUCUGAAAUUGAAACAUUAUAUGAGUUAUCAGUCAGAGCAAUUUCAAAAUUUGGUUAUAUAAUCACUGGAAAGGAACUGAAACAAGAUCCUUCAUUCCACUUCUGUAGAAAUCUGUUGCUAUAGAGUAACUCUGUCUCCUGAUAUGUCUUAUAACAGGAGCAGACACAGUGCAGAACCGCAGAGACUUUCUGACAGACCAGGAAAUCUGUUUAUCAGUCUCCAUCACUUUUAGGAGUAGGCAAGAAAAGAUGACAAAAAAGGAGGGCAUCCCUGCACCACUUUGUCAAAGUGAAUUUUGGGAUACAGAUGCAGAGUGAAAUGCUAAGGUAGCUAAGGCAAGAGAUCAUCAUUUAGAUAUGCUGUCUUUCUUCAGGGGACGUAGGGAAAAAGAGUAUUCAGAUGGGGGACAAAGCCUUGGAUUUUGGCAGCAAGUGAAAAGCCUUGUCUGCCUGCACUGAGCAAGGGCUGCCCAAGGACAAGAAUACUCCAGGUAAAUACACCACAAUGUAUUUUACUAUGACGGCACCAUCUGAUCACAACUCCGGUUCCAUGGCCUGGCAGGCCGCUUGGCAGCAUACAGAGAUGCUUGGAAGGACAUCUUGCCAAUUAACUGUUCCACUGAAUCAAAGAUUUACCCCAUGUUGCGCUAAGGCCGAUUAACAAUGAAGUCUGAGGUUUUAUUAUAGUUCCAAAAAAAUUCAGCAGGGCAAUAAAUGUUGACAAAUGGCAACUGCAAUUUGGAAUUGUAUUCUGGCCAGCUAUUAACUUGCUGCUGCCCUCAAUUCUGUCCUUCUCAGGUGAUAUGAGCUGCUUUUUUAACUGCAGGAGAAUAAUUCCAUUUUUCAGUGUAGAACCAUACUAUGGAGGGAGAAUUCUUAUUGUAUUGCAUCACUCAGCAACUAUCAAAGGGCAUCCAAAUAAGCAUGAAAGGGAUGGAGAGACAGAAACAAAGAUAAAUUUGAAGUGAUUCAGAGAGAAAGCAGUGCGCGGUUUAAAGAUGCGCUCCAAGCUGUACGCAAAGCGAACAUAACGAGCUAAACUUCCUGGAGAAACAAAGGAAUGAAUGACUGCAGGACAUUAAUGCAAUUUGAAGUACUUUGUUGAUCUUCAGUUAUAUAUCAAGGAUUAAACUGAACUCUGCAAGACAAUAACUGGUGUUAUUCUGUGAGUUUUUACACCUUACUGGGUUCAAGCUAAGGAAAAAGUUGAGAGUAAACUUAAGUGGAAUUUACUACUUCCAAAGUGACU